UGAUGCAGCGACGCCGCGUGAGGGAUGACGGCCUUCGGGUUGUAAACCUCUUUCAGCAGGGAAGAAGCGAAAGUGACGGUACCUGCAGAAGAAGCGCCGGCUAACUACGUGCCAGCAGCCGCGGUAAUACGUAGGGCGCAAGCGUUGUCCGGAAUUAUUGGGCGUAAAGAGCUCGUAGGCGGCUUGUCACGUCGGGUGUGAAAGCCCGGGGCUUAACCCCGGGUCUGCAUUCGAUACGGGCUAGCUAGAGUGUGGUAGGGGAGAUCGGAAUUCCUGGUGUAGCGGUGAAAUGCGCAGAUAUCAGGAGGAACACCGGUGGCGAAGGCGGAUCUCUGGGCCAUUACUGACGCUGAGGAGCGAAAGCGUGGGGAGCGAACAGGAUUAGAUACCCUGGUAGUCCACGCCGUAAACGGUGGGAACUAGGUGUUGGCGACAUUCCACGUCGUCGGUGCCGCAGCUAACGCAUUAAGUUCCCCGCCUGGGGAGUACGGCCGCAAGGCUAAAACUCAAAGGAAUUGACGGGGGCCCGCACAAGCAGCGGAGCAUGUGGCUUAAUUCGACGCAACGCGAAGAACCUUACCAAGGCUUGACAUACGCCGGAAAGCAUCAGAGAUGGUGCCCCCCUUGUGGUCGGUGUACAGGUGGUGCAUGGCUGUCGUCAGCUCGUGUCGUG
rnacentral:rRNA from 1 species